UGAUGCUUCUUUUUAAGUGAAGGAAAACUGCUAGCACAGCUGCAUACUGAGGUGGAUUUACACCUUUCACUUUUUUUUUUUUUCUUUAUAUGACGAAUUUCUCAAAAGCUGUAUAGAAGAAUGAGUUAACUGCUGAUGCAUGAAGGCAAACGAAGACACUGCCUUACACUUAAUGGCAGCCUAUGGACAACCCUUUACUUUAGAGCCAUUUUUUUUCUGGGGAGACAUUGUCAAGACGGGAAGAGUCUUGAGUUGCACCUGCCUGCAUUCUUGCUCGCUAGCGGACAGUCUUCAGAACAAGUUGGAUCUUCAAAAUUGAAUUUUCUACUUGAAAACACAGUUAAAUUGUUCCCCAUCCUCUCCCUGAGAGAGUCAAUGUCUGCUUCAUCAACCCUGACUGCCUACAGUGUGCAACAAGCUCCAUCACCUUUCUUCACAAAGAAGAUUGCUUGCACAGAAGGUUUCUCAAACUGCUUGGGACACCUUGCACAGAUUCAUGCCUCUGCCUUGAAUUCAGAAGGGACACUUAAAGAAAUCCUGAACAUUUUGUUGGAAAUGUGAUCAGUCACCUGCAACUUAGACCCUACCUGUUUGGUAAAGGGAAUAAGGACAACUAGAACUUCUGGUAUUUCCAAAGAUUUGUCUGAAGGAAAUGCAGUAUUUUCCAUACAGUAACCCAUCCAACCCCAAAACAAUUUUGGGUGGAAUGGAAGUUGACAACAGGUAUCAAAUCUCUUUUUUUCUGAACAAGCUUAUUAAAAUGCUAGCAACAUCUCUGCAGCUAGAACUGGAGUCUAAUAAGAUUUUAAGGUAGAAUAUGGAAUGCAAUCUUGGCUAUCUAAGGACCAAUUAUGCAUACAUAUAUAUAUAUACCUGCACACAUGUGUGUGCAGAUAUAUAUAUAUAUUCAUUUUUGCUGAGCAAGUUAUUUUGAUAUAGUCAAAUAUAGGAUGCUGACUUAUAAGAAUGUAACAGUAAAACCACUUUGACCUUUAUUUUUCUGCAUAGCAACACACACACAAAUCAGCACAAUCAAAAAUAUAAGUAGAGUUUCUUAUUUAAAGGAGGAAUAGAAAGAAGACUUGGUGCACUUCACUUUUUUUUUUUUUUUUGAAAUACCACAGUGUUUGUGCAGCAUAAGAAACUGACAGAUAGAACAUAUAUUGUACAGUCAUAUCUAUUAAUGAACAUAAUAUAACAUUAAUGAUGCCUUUGCAUCAAAUAUAAGAAAAGAAACUGUACCACGUGCCAUUUAGUUAAUAUAGGGAAAAAAAAAAAGUGUACCAAACACAUGAGCUCACUUCAGUGAACAAAUAAAAGCUGAAUGCUUUUCA
rnacentral:lncRNA from 1 species